rnacentral:tRNA from 4 species
GGCGAGAUGGCCGAGCGGUCUAAGGCGCCAGACUAAGGAUCUGGUCCUCACGGGCGUGGGUUCGAAUCCCACUCUCGUCA